rnacentral:rRNA from 1 species
GACAGAGGGGGCAAGCGUUGCUCGGAAUCACUGGGCGUAAAGGGCGCGUAGGCGGGAUGGCAAGUCAGUCGUGAAAUCCCUGGGCUCAACUCAGGGGGGUCGGCCGAUACUGCCGUUCUUGAGGGAUGCAGAGGAGACUGGAAUUCCCGGUGUAGCGGUGAAAUGUGUAGAGAUCGGGAGGAACACCGGUGGCGAAGGCGGGUCUCUGGGCAUUCCCUGACGCUGAGGCGCGAAAGCGUGGGGAGCAAACGGG